GAUGAACGCUAGCGGCAGGCUUAAUACAUGCAAGUCGAGGGACAGCACAGGUAGCAAUACUGGGUGGUAACCGGCAAACGGGUGCGGAACACGUACACAACCUUCCUUUAAGUGGGGGAUAGCCCAGAGAAAUUUGGAUUAAUACCCCGUAAUAUAGUUGAAUGGCAUCAUUUGAUUAUUAUAGCUACGGCGCUUAAUGAUGGGUGUGCGGCUGAUUAGAUAGUUGGCGGGGUAACGGCCCACCAAGUCUACGAUCAGUAGCUGAUGUGAGAGCAUGAUCAGCCACACGGGCACUGAGACACGGGCCCGACUCCUACGGGAGGCAGCAGUAAGGAAUAUUGGUCAAUGGACGCAAGUCUGAACCAGCCAUGCCGCGUGAAGGAUUAAGGCCCUCUGGAUUGUAAACUUCUUUUAUUUGGGACGAAAAAGGGCCUUUCUAGGUCAACUGACGGUACCAGAUGAAUAAGCACCGGCUAACUCCGUGCCAGCAGCCGCAGUAACAC
rnacentral:rRNA from 1 species